rnacentral:rRNA from 1 species
GACGAACGCUGGCGGCGUGCCUAAUACAUGCAAGUCGAACGAGAGCGACCGGUGCUUGCACUGGUCAAUCUAGUGGCGAACGGGUGAGUAACACGUGGGUAACCUGCUCAUCAGAGGGGGAUAACAUCCGGAAACGGAUGCUAAAACCGCAUAGGUCUUCGAGCCGCAUGGCUUGAAGAGGAAAAGAGGCGCAAGCUUCUGCUGAUGGAUGGACCCGCGGUGCAUUAGCUAGUUGGUGAGGUAACGGCUCACCAAGGCCGUGAUGCAUAGCCGACCUGAGAGGGUGAUCGGCCACAUUGGGACUGAGACACGGCCCAAACUCCUACGGGAGGCAGCAGUAGGGAAUCUUCCGCAAUGGACGCAGGUCUGACGGAGCAACGCCGCGUGAGUGAAGAAGGUUUUCGGAUCGUAAAACUCUGUUGUUAGAGAAGAACAAGUGCUAGAGUAACUGUUAGCGCCUUGACGGUAUCUAACCAGAAAGCCACGGCUAACUACGUG